UAAUAGGACAUCCAAAGGUUCAAUAAUAGUUAUCUCAUUAAUUAAGCGCAAAGUUUGAAUAACCGAUGACAAUGAGUUCAGUUAUCUUUUACUACAUUUGUCUUUUAAUAUCACUAUUUGUAUUGAGUGUCAGUACUGAUAGAAAUGAGUGUCAAUUAUUUGGAUCUAACGGUACAUAUGAAGGCGUUGGUGUUUAUAGAAAUCUCGACAAUAAUCGGCUAAUGAUGUAUAAUAAGCAUAAAGAGUGGGAAUUUGUAUUGAAUAACAAUACAAUUGAAUUCAAUACAAAUAUUAUCAAUGAAUUGGAUUCAAAUGCAAUCAUUAGAUUUACAGCUGUGGUUGAAGUAAAAAAUAGUAAUAUUAACAGUUAUCAUUGCAGUGUUGUAACAAAUAAAUCGACGACA